rnacentral:lncRNA from 1 species
GGGUGUGGGGUUCGUUUAGGUUUUGCCCUGUGUAUGACCUCUUUUGGAGCCAUGAAACCAGGUCUGUGAAAUUUCGUGUCUAUUUUCUACCAUAGCACAUGUUAAUUUGGACUAACCACAUUUCAAGUGCUCAGUAGCCACAUGUGGCUAGCGACUACUAUCUUAAGCAAUGCAACGAUAAGUCUGCACUUACGUUCAAAAAGACUUAAAGCAGGGAUCCACAACCCCCAGGCCACAGACUGGUACGGAUCCAUGGCCUGUUAAGAACUGUGCCACACAGCAGGAGGUCAUAAGAACAGACAGUAUUUUUUGGCCCAGCAAGAACUUCUUAGGCCAUAAAGCAUGACAGACCUCUUUUCCUUAUGUGCUGAAUUGAAAAAAUGCUGACUCUUUUGCUGAUGGUGGCUUUUCUACAAUAUAAAGAUGGAAAUGGGAUGAAGAUGUUCAUUGCAAAUUAGGAAAGCUCUUCCACAAGUUCACCAAUGGAAAUAACAUCAAGAGUUUUUCAUCGUCUUAGUGUGCAAGAUGUCUGAGGAAUAGUCUUAGUGGAUUAUCCCAAACUUGACACAUUUUUUGCAAAAUGCUAUACAAAAAGAAGAUACAUGUGAUUAUGACAAGAUUCUCCACUUGGUGUGACCGGUCUCAUACAACCCAAGGCUGUGUGUCCAAACGCAAUUGCACUGAAUACUGGAAAGCAUUUAUUUGUUUGCUAAAUUGCUCUCUUUCCACCAGUGAUAUCGAUUCUGAAAUACUUUUUAGAUCUUGACAAUAAUCAAAAUGUAGCCAGGUGCAUUGG